UGAUUUUGAUCGUUUCCUAUCUGUUUUACUAAACUUUGUUGUGUGUAUAUCAUUUUUAAUGUGUUCAUUUUAUUUUUUCAAUCAAGUGUGCGUCCGAUUGUUAUUCGUUUCGGUCUUUAUUUUGUUUUUGUUUUUAUUUAUUUUAAUCAAAUAAUUUAGUUUUAUUUUAAAUUUUCAAUGUUUAUUUAAUUUGGAUGAUAAUUUCAUCCCUUCCAAAUGUUUAAUUGCUCCCCAAGUUUUUCUCUCACCCCACUACUUAAUCUCACUCUCUCCCCUUUUCUCUCUCUACCAAUGACCUAUUCCUCCCACGCAUAUACUCUUUCU
rnacentral:lncRNA from 1 species